GAGCGAAACGCCCCGCGGGGCGUCGUCGGGGUGUCGUGGCCCCGGCCUGACGAGCAGCUGGAG
rnacentral:hammerhead_ribozyme from 2 species